rnacentral:rRNA from 1 species
CACCGCCCGUCACAUCACGAAAGUGGGCUGUACUAGAAGCCGGUGCGCCGACCCGCAAGGGAGGUAGCCGUCCAAGGUGUAGCUCAUGAUUGGGGUG